AGUGAACGCUGGCGGUAGGCCUAACACAUGCAAGUCGAACGGCAGCACCGUAAGAGCUUGCUCUUACGGGUGGCGAGUGGCGGACGGGUGAGGAAUACAUCGGAAUCUACUUUUUCGUGGGUGAUAACGUAGGGAAACUUACGCUAAUACCGCAUACGUCCUACGGGUGAAAGCAGGGGAUCUUCGGACCUUUCGCGAUUGAAUGAGCCGAUGUCGGAUUCGCUAGUUGGCGGGGUAAAGGCCCACCAAGGCGACGAUCCGUAGCUGGUCUGAGAGGAUGAUCAGCCACACUGGAACUGAGACACGGUCCAGACUCCUACGGGAGGCAGCAGUGGGGAAUAUUGGACAAUGGGCGCAAGCCUGAUCCAGCCAUACCGCGUGGGUGAAGAAGGCCUUCGGGUUGUAAAGCCCUUUUGUUGGGAAAGAAAAGCAGCAGGUUAAUACCCCGCUGUUCUGACGGUACCCAAAGAAUAAGCACCGGCUAACUUCGUG
rnacentral:rRNA from 1 species